UCCCAAACUGCUGGGAUCAUAGGCAUGAGCUACCAGGCCUGGCCCACAGCAUAGUAACUAUUUAGUAAUAAAUUAUAUAGAUUGGAUUGUGGGGCCCAUCUUUCACGUCUGCCCCGUAUACCCUGACAGAAUCCACUUGGCUAGUUUGGGUACUCAAAUAUGGUACCAGCAACCAGAUGGUGAGUUGCUGCCUGAAAUGUGUGAAGAAACAAGCUAGACUCUAGGAGACAGGACUUGCAUAUUUUAAUGGAAACAAUAGGUGCAAGGUCAUAGGAAGUGUCUUUUUAUAAAUAGCUUCACAGCCUUGGCACAGUGGAGAGCACAUUGUCAGACUGAGAUUGAAUGAAUAAACAGUUGGAAAUUAACUUUUGUGGGGCAUCAUUUACCUAUUCAAGUGGACACUGGAGACCAUCAUUUUGUUGGAGUGAGUUUUUUGUUUUUUUGCAUUGUGUGGGAGGUAGUGAGAAGUGAAGCCAGCUGGACUUCUGGGUCGGGUGGGGACUUGGAGAACUUUUCUGUCUCACAAAAGGAUUGUAAAAUGCGCGAAUCAGCACUCUGUAACUAGGAUUGUAAAAUGCACCAAUCAGUGGUCUGUAGCUAGCUAGAGGUUUGUAAAAUGGACCAAUCAGCAUUCUGUAAAAUGGACCAAUCAGCACUCUGUAAAAUGGACCAAUCAGCAUUCUGUAAAAUGAACCAAUCAGCAGGACAUGGGCAGGG
rnacentral:lncRNA from 10 species